CACCUGCCCCGACGCACCUGUGCUACACAAAGCCAUGUCAAUGUACAGACGCCUCUGACCAAGACAUGGCUGGAUACACACAUAUAUAUGUAUUGAUAUCAAUAUGUCUAGAUGGAAUUGGAAUUAGCGGUAAGUAAAGGGAGCUUUUGCCUUUGAUAUUAGGCCUGAGCUGUAAAUUAAGAUUCAGAUAGUCUUAGUCGAUAGCAUAUUACUCGGGCUCUAUGAAAAAACAACGUUCACCUGAGGAACCCGGAUGCUCCGUUGGGCUGAGUGAAACAUAGAAAACCUUGCCCAUAAUGUCUCUUACUUUUUAAUUUUGUUUUAACAGCCAUAGUUUCACGUAAACCUCAAACCUGUUUCCAACGAUAUCUUUUAACCCAAAUGAUAUUGGCUCACCUACAAUUGUAAACGUGUUACACUCUGCGCUGUCCAGGACGACAGAAACAACGUUUGCUACUUAAAAAUCUUGUGUUUUUUAUUUGAAAAACAUGUCAGAAUUAUUUAUCAUUUCACUUGCCUUUUAACAGGCUUGCUGGAAGCACAAUCUUCAACAUUCAGGGAGUCUACCCUUGUCAUUCCUAAACUCAUCGGCGAACGAGCCAAGAGACAUGAACACAGCGAAAAACUCUACCCCGAGCAAAGACACUCCGAGCGCUUGACGUACUCAAUAAGGAUUGGCGACAGAGACCGUACUCUACACCUGGAGAAAAACAGGGACUUCCUGUCAGCUGAUUUUGUGGAGUAUUCCCACAGUUUGCGAGGGAAACUGGUUGAAAGGACGCCGGCGAACCAUGUGAGUGAUUGAACAUAUCGAUGUUAGAGCAUGCUGUGUAGACAACAGUGCAGGUAGGACACCAUGUUAAGUCAAGGACCUCAGACCAGGAAAGAGAAAGCAAGCCUGCUGUCUCUCUCUGUGUGUGUUUGUGUGUGUGCGUGUAAAAAAAUAAUCAUGGGGGCUGGACCUCAUUGUUGGUAACUGGUGUGUGUGUGUUUUCUGUGAUGACGGCUGAUGGCCAAUGAAAAACCGGUUUGAAAUAAAGGCUCUGUAUAUGUCA
rnacentral:lncRNA from 1 species